CGUUAAUCGGAUUUACUGGGCGUAAAGCGCGCGUAGGUGGCCAAUUAAGUCAAAUGUGAAAUCCCCGAGCUUAACUUGGGAAUUGCAUUCGAUACUGGUUGGCUAGAGUAUGGGAGAGGAUGGUAGAAUUCCAGGUGUAGCGGUGAAAUGCGUAGAGAUCUGGAGGAAUACCGAUGGCGAAGGCAGCCAUCUGGCCUAAUACUGACACUGAGGUGCGAAAGCAUGGGGAGCAAACAGGAUUAGAUACCCUGGUAGUCCAUGCCGUAAACGAUGUCUACUAGCCGUUGGGGCCUUUGAGGCUUUAGUGGCGCAGCUAACGCGAUAAGUAGACCGCCUGGGGAGUACGGUCGCAAGACUAAAACUCAAAUGAAUUGACGGGGGCCCGCACAAGCGGUGGAGCAUGUGGUUUAAUUCGAUGCAACGCGAAGAACCUUACCUGGUCUUGACAUAGUAAGAACUUUCCAGAGAUGGAUUGGUGCCUUCGGGAACUUACAUACAGGUGCUGCAUGGCUGUCGUCAGCUCGUGUCGUGAGAUGUUGGGUUAAGUCCCGCAACGAGCGCAACCCUUUUCCUUAUUUGCCAGCGGGUUAAGCCGGGAACUUUAAGGAUACUGCCAGUGACAAACUGGAGGAAGGCGGGGACGACGUCAAGUCAUCAUGGCCCUUACGACCAGGGCUACACACGUGCUACAAUGGUCGGU
rnacentral:rRNA from 1 species